UUGCAAGCACCGGAGAAUCAAGUCCUCUGUUUAUCCCAAAACAGCAGGUACAGCACUGGCAGUAGCCAUGCCAGCUUCCUGCACAUCCUGCCCCACCAAUGUACCUCAGCCCUUCCUAGGAGGGUGGUUUGUCUUUGUGUCCCAUUCCAUCUUUGGCUGAU
ensembl:misc_RNA